rnacentral:rRNA from 1 species
CACGGAGGGAGCAAGCGUUGUUCGGAAUCACUGGGCGUAAAGGGCGUGUAGGCGGUCAGGUAAGUGAGACGUGAAAUGCCCCGGCUUACCCGGGGACCUGCGUCUCAUACUGCUUGGCUUGAGUACGGGAGAGGGUGUGGGAAUUCCUGGUGUAGCGGUGAAAUGCGUAGAUAUCAGGAGGAACACCGGUGGCGAAGGCGCACACCUGGCCCGAUACUGACGCUGAGGCGCGAAAGCUAGGGGAGCAAACGGG